rnacentral:rRNA from 1 species
UCAGGCCUAACACAUGCAAGUCGAACGUGAAAGCACUUCGGUGUGAGUAGAGUGGCGGACGGGUGAGUAACGCGUAGGAAUCUACCCAGUAGUGGGGGACAACUUGGGGAAACUCAAGCUAAUACCGCAUACGCCCUACGGGGGAAAGCGGGGGAUCUUCGGACCUCGCGCUAUUGGAUGAGCCUGCGUCGGAUUAGCUAGUUGGUGGGGUAAAGGCCUACCAAGGCGACGAUCCGUAGCUGGUCUGAGAGGAUGAUCAGCCACACUGGGACUGAGACACGGCCCAGACUCCUACGGGAGGCAGCAGUGGGGAAUAUUGCGCAAUGGGGGCAACCCUGACGCAGCCAUGCCGCGUGUGUGAAGAAGGGCCUAGGGUUGUAAAGCACUUUCAAUUGGGAAGAAAAGCUGCAGCUUAAUACGUUGCAGCCCUGACAUUACCUUUAGAAGAAGCACCGGCUAACUCCGUGCCAGCAGCCGCGGUAAUACGGAGGGUGCGAGCGUUAAUCGGAAUUACUGGGCGUAAAGCGCGCGUAGGCGGUGAGUUAAGUCAGCUGUGAAAGCCCCGGGCUCAACCUGGGAACUGCAGUUGAUACUGGCUGACUAGAGUACGAGAGAGGGAGGUAGAAUUCCACGUGUAGCGGUGAAAUGCGUAGAUAUGUGGAGGAAUACCGGUGGCGAAGGCGGCCUCCUGGCUCGAUAC